rnacentral:rRNA from 1 species
UGGAAAUUUAACAUAUGGUGAAUCAUGAUAACUUUACGAAUCGCAUGGUCUUUUGUGCCGGCGAUAGUUCAUUCAAAUAUCUGCCCUAUCAACUUUCGAUGGUAGUAUAGAGGACUACCAUGGUGUUAACGGGUAACGGAGAAUCAGGGUUUGAUUCCGGAGAAGGAGCCUGAGAAACGGCUACUACUUCCAAGGAAGGCAGCAGGCGCGCAAAUUACCCAAUCCCGACACGGGGAGGUAGUGACAAAAAAUAACAAUACCGGUCUUAUUUAAGUCUGGUAAUUGGAAUGAGUACAAUCUAAAUCCUUUAACGAGUAUCAAUUGGAGGGCAAGUCUGGUGCCAGCAGCCGCGGUAAUUCCAGCUCCAAUAGCAUAUAUUAAAGUUGUUGCAGUUAAAAAGCUCGUAGUUGGAUUUUGAAGUUUACAUAUUAUGACCCACYUUGUAUUARGUGUGUUUUGUUGUGAUAUGUACUUCUCCUUACUAGACUUUCACUA